AAUCAACGCUGGCGGCGUGCCUCAGACAUGCAAGUCGAACGAUUAAAGCUCUCUUCGGAGAGUGUAUAGAGUGGCGCACGGGUGAGUAACACGUAAGUAAUCUACCCUCGAGUGGGGAAUAACGUCCGGAAACGGACGCUAAUACCGCAUAAUGCAGCGGCACCGCAAGGUGACAGUUGUUAAAGGAGAAAUUCGCUUGAGGAGGAGCUUGCGGCAGAUUAGCUUGUUGGUAAGGUAACGGCUUACCAAGGCUACGAUCUGUAACCGGUCUUAGAGGACGGUCGGUCACACUGACACUGAAUAACGGGUCAGACUCCUACGGGAGGCAGCAGUCGGGAAUUUUGGGCAAUGGGCGAAAGCCUGACCCAGCAACGCCGCGUGAAGGAUGAAGUAUUUCGGUAUGUAAACUUCGAAAGAAUAGGAAGAAUAAAUAGACGGUACUAUUUAUAAGGUCCGG
rnacentral:rRNA from 1 species